CGGCGGACGGGUGAGUAACACGUAGGUAACCUACCUAUAAGACUGGGAUAACUUCGGGAAACCGGAGCUAAUACCGGAUAAUAUUUCGAACCGCAUGGUUCGAUAGUGAAAGAUGGCUUUGCUAUCACUUAUAGAUGGACCUGCGCCGUAUUAGCUAGUUGGUAAGGUAACGGCUUACCAAGGCAACGAUACGUAGCCGACCUGAGAGGGUGAUCGGCCACACUGGAACUGAGACACGGUCCAGACUCCUACGGGAGGCAGCAGUAGGGAAUCUUCCGCAAUGGGCGAAAGCCUGACGGAGCAACGCCGCGUGAGUGAUGAAGGUCUUCGGAUCGUAAAACUCUGUUAUUAGGGAAGAACAAACGUGUAAGUAACUGUGCACGUCUUGACGGUACCUAAUCAGAAAGCCACGGCUAACUACGUGCCAGCAGCCGCGGUAAUACGUAGGUGGCAAGCGUUAUCCGGAAUUAUUGGGCGUAAAGCGCGCGUAGGCGGUUUUUUAAGUCUGAUGUGAAAGCCCACGGCUCAACCGUGGAGGGUCAUUGGAAACUGGAAAACUUGAGUGCAGAAGAGGAAAGUGGAAUUCCAUGUGUAGCGGUGAAAUGCGCAGAGAUAUGGAGGAACACCAGUGGCGAAGGCGACUUUUCUGGUCUGUAACUGACGCUGAUGUGCGAAAGCGUGGGGAUCAAACAGGAUUAGAUACCCUGGUAGUCCACGCCGUAAACGAUGAGUGCUWAAGUGUUAGGGGGUUUCCGCCCCUUAGUGCUGCAGCUAACGCAUUAAGCACUCCGCCUGGGGAGUACGACCGCAGGGUUGAAACUCAAAGGAAUUGACGGGGACCCGC
rnacentral:rRNA from 1 species